rnacentral:sRNA from 1 species
GAGGCCUUGGGUGGUGAACGAGUCUCCAGCACCAUGUCUGGUUUGUCUGGCCCACCAGCCCGGCGCGGCCCUUUUCCGUUAGCGUUGCUGCUUUUGUUCCUGCUCGGCCCCAGCUUGGUCCUCGCCAUCUCCUUCCAUCUGCCCAUUAACUCUCGCAAGUGCCUCCGUGAGGAGAUCCACAAGGACCUGCUAGUGACUGGCGCGUACGAGAUCUCCGACCAGUCUGGGGGCGCUGGCGGCCUGCGCAGCCACCUCAAGAUCACAGAUUCUGCUGGCCAUAUUCUCUACUCCAAAGAGGAUGCAACCAAGGGGAAAUUUGCCUUUACCACUGAAGAUUAUGACAUGUUUGAAGUGUGUUUUGAGAGCAAGGGAACAGGGCGGAUACCUGACCAACUCGUGAUCCUAGACAUGAAGCAUGGAGUGGAGGCGAAAAAUUACGAAGAGGUAUGUCCUGCUCUAACAGCCAGAGGAGGCAGCAGUGUGCUAUGCUGUGAGGUUUCUGUGACCUCGGCAGGUCAACAGGCUGUGCUUUGCCCAAAGGGCUGUGGUUUCU